UGGGGAAUUUUGCACAAUGGGGGAAACCCUGAUGCAGCGACGCCGCGUGAUUUAGAAGGCCUUCGGGUUGUAAAAAUCUUUUUUACGGGAUGAAAAUGACAGUACCGUAAGAAUAAGGUCCGGCUAAAUACGUGCCAGCAGCCGCGGUAAUACGUAUGGACCGAGCGUUGUCCGGAAUCAUUGGGCGUAAAGGGUACGUAGGCGGCCUAGUAAGUUAGAAGUGAAAUAAUAUAGCUCAACUAUAUAAAGCUUUUAAAACUGCUAGGCUUGAGAGAUGGAAGGGAAAGUGGAAUUCCGAGUGUAGCGGUGAAAUGCGCAGAUAUUAGGAAGAAUACCGGUGGCGAAGGCGACUUUCUGGUCAUCAUCUGACGCUGAGGUACGAAAGCGUGGGUAGCAAACAGG
rnacentral:rRNA from 1 species